rnacentral:lncRNA from 1 species
AUGACAGUGGCUGCCCUCGGUCCAGAACACGGGGUGGGAACACGUCCUCCUCACUGUCACUGGCUCCCUCUGCAGUUGGCUCCCAGCCUGCGGGGCACUUAGGUAGAUGGUAGCAUGGGCAGGGGGCCAGGUCGGAGGACCCAUGCUCGAGAAACACAUUCGCAGACACAUCCGCUAGGGCUCCCAGUUCUUUAAUCUGGGGGACAGGUCUCCCCCUAAAACACUCACUCUCCCACAAUGGGAAGAACCCUGGUGUCCAGAGCUACCUCCUCCUCCCCAGGUCCCCAAGCUAGGCCAGGGAAGUGACUCUGGCUGUUAGCCACAGCCCACGCCUACCCUUGCCCUGUGAUUCAGACACCCGAGUUCAGAGCCAGCCUCCAAGAGUAUCUUACAUCCCAGCGUCUCCUGGAAGGCCGUAUGAUCCAGCACUGGGGAGAGGAGGGAAAUCCCCAGGACUCGAAUGCCCAUCCCACCCUUGGUGUAGUGAGGACUCAUCCUGCUGGAAAGGCCCCUGAAGAACUUCAAGUUCCAAUAUCCCGUUUUUACAGAUGGGGAAACUGACAUGAAGAGGAGUCCAAAGUGACACAGUCAGGCCAGAAAUGUUGCUUCUGAAGUCCUGAGUCCACCUCCUAGCACUGCCAAGCAGUCCACCUGGAGGUGAUGAGAACUUCCAGGCUUUGGUAAUGGACAACUCUGUAUCCCUGGAGCCUUCAUUCCUUUUGGCAUUACAGAACCACAAGAAGUCAUCUAGAAUCAUUGAGAUUCUCAACUCCAUUGGGCAAACUGGAACCAGCAAAAUCUCAGAUAUCUAGAAUUGCCACUGCUUCCUUGACUCUGUGAUCAGUCUACAGCCACAGAAUCCUGAUUCCCUUUGGACAUUCUAGAAUGGCACUUUAAAAAAAAACAACCCACCCAGUGGAUCCUUUCAAAGCACUGCUUAUUCUCUUGGCUGGGUGCUCUACAGCCAGAAGUUGGAGUUAUCUAAUAUCAAGAACUCUUAAUCUGUCACUUCAGUCUUUCUAAACCCACAGACUAACAAUGUUUUGUGCAUUCUAGAAACAUUACUCUUUAGUUUCUGGAGUAGUUCAACUCUCCACGUAAAAUCUGUCCUAGACUCACCAGUGCUUGCCUCUGUGGUCAACCUAGACUCACAGAAUCUCAACUAAUGAGCUUUCUGG